CUGCUCAAUGAUUUUUUAAAUUGCUGUGGUAUUUUGACUAUGCAAAGGUAUUGAAAUAAGGCUUUAAAUGAGUGCUAAGAGAAUGAUAAUACAAAAAGUUACUUUCUAAAUUUAAAAAAUUGAAAUUUAUUUUAAAAUGAAAAAGUUUUAAUUAGUUAUUGGGACAAGAAGACCCUAUGAAUUUUUAUAAUUAAUUUUUUAUUUUAUUUUUAUAAAAUUAUAUAAAAAUUAAUUAUUUAAUUGGGGUGAUUAAAAAAGAUUAAAAAUCUUUUAUAUUUUAAAUAAAAGAUCCAUUAUUAAUGAUAAAAUGAAUUAAAUACUCUAGGGAUAACAGCAUAAUUAUUUUAGAUAGUUCAUAUUGAUAAAAUAGUUUAUGACCUCGAUGUUGGAUUAAAGUCCUCAUAUAAUGUAAAAGUUAUAUUAAGAAGUUUGUUCAACUUUUAAUUCUUUACUUGAUCUGAGUUCAGACCGG
rnacentral:rRNA from 1 species